CUAGUACUCCCUCCGUCCUAUAUUAACUGACUCAUAUUUGUCCAAAUAUGAAUGUUUCCAUCCAAAAAGCAUUUAGAUACAUGUAAUACAAAGUCAGUUAAUAUGAGAUGGAGGGAGUAUUUU
rnacentral:pre_miRNA from 1 species